CAUUAAAAAUAAUUGUUAGUAAAAAUAAUUUAAGGGUAUUGACAUAGAAAAAGUAAAAGUAUAUAUUAAUUUAUGUUGUAUAAAAGAUUGGCAAGUUAGAGACGGAAGAUAAAAAUAUGGUCAAAGUAAUUAAGAGUCUAUGGUGGAUGCCUAGGAGCUUUAAGGCGAAGAAGGUCGUGGUAAGCUGCGAAAAGCUUGGGGGAGAAGCAAACAUUUUAUGAUCCCAAGAUUACCGAAUGGAGUAAUCCAAUUAGCUAGAUGCUAAUUAUCUACUGCGUAGGUAGUAGAGGCUAUACCAGGGGAAGUGAACCAUCUAAGUACCC
rnacentral:rRNA from 1 species